GGCCUUGUUUUGUUCCGGAGCGUUCAGAGCUGUUCUGGAAUGAUAAACAGGGCUUUGCAUUACUAAAGCAUCGAUAAACAUUAAACAUCAUCACAUACUGUACACACACUCCUCCUGUAAUGCACUGCAUGCUGACUGCUCAUGGGAAGGACCCGUUUGAGAGCAGCCAUGACCGAAGGCCAGAUGAGACUUCAGCUUCCUCCAUCUGUCCCUCUCACUUCCUGAGUGCUCAAUGCUCUUUGAUGACUUUUUUAUUUCAUUUUUGGAACAAAUAAGUUUUCUCAACAACAUUUGGGCUUUUAGAGGCUUUAAAAUAUGAUAUUACACUUCCAGAAACUUUCAUUUUUAAAUGUGCAUUUAGCCUUGACUGUCAUUUUAGACUGUAUUGAUUAUUCGUUUCGAUGAUUCCUUACAAAAUAAUCUCUCUUUCUGUUAAAAGCCUCAGAAGGCACGUACUGCAUCUAAUGCAUGUUGCACAAAAAGCGCUUCCAGAAAAGCUGAAGUUUGCAGGCUGGUGAAAUAAAAGCACCUGCUAAAUGACCAAAAAACACGGUAGUACCGUAGCACUGUUUUUUGGGUUGUCAGCGUGACGUUGCAGAUAAACAGUGAUAUCUGAGGCGCAGGGCACAUGCAGGCCGCUGGAAAUGUUGCUUUUAAGCGACUCGCUUUCUCCGGGUUUCCCAUUUCUGCUUUUAUGGAUGGAGUGCCAAUCAUAGUCUCUUGAUAUCUCUCACGCUAACAUUAUUGAGUACAUUACAGCACAUGCCUGAGCCAUGAAAGCAUCAAUAACAUCCUCAUCAGCACGAGACAGACCAGCCCUCAGAAGAGAAGAGUGCAGACAGCAACAAACUCCAAGCUGCAGAGUGAAAACAACCCUGUAUGGUGUCCUCAGUGUUCUUCUAGCGUCGGUAAACGUGUGUAAAGUCAGGCGUGAUGUUGAUGUUGUGCUGUUGUUGACGCUGACAGCCGCGGGCAGCUGGAAGAACUGGCAUCGAGCCGGACGCAAAGACAAUGAGAGCAAACACACUCCGACAGCCAGCGCUAGCUUCACCAGACCAGCUGAUUCUGACUCUACAGUACUGUGUGAAAUUAAUGCUUUCAUUCAUCAAUGAUGCAUUAAAAUUACAGUGAAGACAUUUAUAAUGUUACAGUAGAUUUCUAUUUCAAAUAAAUGCUGUUCUUCUUGAAUCCUUGAAUCCUGAAAAAUAAAAUGCAUCACAGUUUCCACAAAAAUAUUGUGCAGCACAACUGUUUUCAACAUUGAUAAUAAUCAGAAAUGUUUCUUGAGCAGCAAAUCAUCAUAUUAGAAUGAUUUCUGAAGAUCAUGUGACACUGAAGACUGGAGUAAUGAUGCUGAAAAUACAGCUGCGCAUCACAGAAAUAAAUUACACUUUAACAGAGAUUCACACAGAAAACAGCUGUUUUAAAUUGUAAUAAUAUUGCACAAUUUUUACUGUAUUUUUGAACAAAUAAAUCCAGCCUUGGUGAGCAAAAAGGACUGAAAAACAUAAAAAAUAAUAAUAAUAAUAAUACCGAUCCUUAACUUUUAAAUGGUAUAUUUAAAAUAUUAAAACAAACUCAUUUUAAUAAGUAGGCUGAUUUUUUCCCCC
ensembl:lncRNA